AAUAUUUUUAGGGAGCUAUUCUUUUCUUGCUGUGACAUCACUGCAGACCAUGUCCCUCUGCUGCUGCCGUACCUCCAUCAGACGAGUGAGAGCUCUGAGAUGGACGCUUGCGAUGUCUGCAGCCGUCUAAGGCAAGAGAGGAUUAAUACACUGUAAAAUCCGUUUCAGAAUAAACAGAGUGGAAAGCGAGCCCUUGUGUCC